AUUGGGAUAAGACCUCAAAGGGGAAUGUGUGAGUGAGCCAGGAAAUGAGUCGAACCAGGUCCCCCCAGAACAUUUGAUUGUAGUCCUGGGCAUCCAUCCAAAUCCCAGGGGCCUUUGCCCCAGAAGAGAUCAUGGCUUACUGGUGACGCUGAAUAGAGGUCAUGAGCACAGUGUGACGAAGAAGCCAGGCCAGGAGGAAACCCUGCAUUCAUGAAGUCACCCACAGUUCCAUCUACUCCAGCCAACACCAGGAUGCUUCACACCCAUGGACGUGAAGGUACGUGGAUUCGAUCCCUUAUGGGUGAUUCAUGCUUGCCUCCUGUGCCAGUGUGUUUGUGACUGCGUAAUAUUUUUGUACCUUCAUUUUUAAAAUCAGAAGUACAAACAACAAACGAUCAAACGGAAGAUGGUGGCCUUGAUCAUGCCAGCCCUGACGUAACAAUGCCUAACUAUAGAUCACAAUCCCUUUUGUGGCUUUGUUGAGUACCCCUUAUUCGUUUAUGCUGCACCUGGAGUUCACUCUCCUGCUGCUUGAGUGUGCUUGGCUAGCACUCUGGACUGUGUGUCUGCCACAGGUCUGCUUUGUCAGGUUAUGUCUUUGGCUCAUGAGUUUCUGAGCUCACUGUUGAGGGUUUGGGAGCAUCUGGGUCUUGGGCAGUUCCAGUGAGAGGCUGAUUAUGCGUGUGGCUGUGAGUUCUUGGACUCAGUGUGAGAAGACUCCAUCUUUAGCUUCAACUAUUUGUUGAGAGAACACAUCUAUGUUCUCCCUCUAUAGAGCUGCAGUCCUGUCACCCAAGGAACUGAACUGAGUAGCCAAUGGCUCCAUGCCACUGACAAUUUAUGGCGGAGGCAAGGAUUCUACUUGGACAUAGCAGGAGCAAUACUAAGCCAGUGCCACCUCCCAGUGAGGCCUCCCAUGGGCUCAGUCAAAGCACAGUAUCAUGGAGCCAAGUGGAGGACAGGCAGAGUCAGCCUGUCCUGUGAGUCCCAGUGGAUUCCCUGGGUGGCAAAGGUACUACCACACGUUGCAGUUAGACCCUUGGGAGUCUCAGAGGAACUAACACGACCUCACUUUCCCCCAGAUGUAGGGCUUCAGGAGCCUGCAUAGAAUACAGGAGGGGAGGGUGGAGCCCUCAGCACAGGAUACCCAGCCUUUAUGUCUCACGGGGUCAGGAGAGCAGGGUGCACAGGAUCCUUGCUGCAGUAGCCUUACAUUUCCCCAUGAAGCUUGCAGGAAAUUUGCAGACUCCCUAGUGUUGUGUUCCCUGCUCUCAGACCCGUUGUUGCCUUUCUUGCUACAGAACCAGGAACAAUCACCGAGCUUGCCUCUGGGAAAUCUGAACCAAGACAUCCAGGAACCUGGACAUGGAUUGAACUAUCUCUUCAUUGUCAGUUACCACUUGCUAAGCACAUCACCCCCAGAUCUGUGUGAGGGGGUCAGGUGUGCUGGGGUGGAGAAGACAACACAGAGCAGCCUGGGAUGGGAAGUCAGUCUCCUGGUGGUGGGAGUGGUAGAUGCUUGUGGUUGUGCUGUCUCCUUUGAGUAAAAACUCCAGCUGCCAA
rnacentral:lncRNA from 1 species